GACGAACGCUGGCGGCGUGCUUAACACAUGCAAGUCGAACGGAAAGGCCCUGCUCUUGUGGGGUGCUCGAUUGGCGAACGGGUGAGUAACACGUGAGUAACCUGCCCUUGACUUUCGGAUAACUUCACGAAACUGGGGCUAAUACCCCAUAGGAGCUCCUGCUGCAUGGUGGGGGUUGGAAAGUUUCGGCGGUUGUGGAUGGAUUCGCGGCUUCUCAGCUUGUUGGUGGGGUAGUGGCUUACCAAGGCUUCGACGGAUAGCCGGCCUGAGAGGGUGACCUGCGACAUGGGGACUAAGGUAGGGCCCAGACUUGAACCAGAGGCAGCAGAGGGGAGUAUUACGCAGGGUGCCAGUGUAUGAGAGCGCGGCGUACCGUGCGGGAUGACGGCUUUCGAGUUACGAACAGAUUUCGAAUCAGACGUAGAGUUAGUGACGGUACCGGAUAAAUAAGCACCGGCUAACUACGUG
rnacentral:rRNA from 1 species